GACGAACGCUGGCGGCGUGCUUAACACAUGCAAGUCGAACGGAAAGGCCCUGCUUUUGUGGGGUGCUCGAGUGGCGAACAGGUGAGUAACACGUGAGUAACCUGCCCUUGACUUUGGGAUAACUUCAGGAAACUGGGGCUAAUACCGGAUAGGAGCUCCUGCUGCAUGGUGGGGGUUGGAAAGUUUCGGCGGUUGGGGAUGGACUCGCGGCUUAUCAGCUUGUUGGUGGGGUAGUGGCUUACCAAGGCUUUGACGGGUAGCCGGCCUGAGAGGGUGACCGGCCACAUUGGGACUGAGAUACGGCCCAGACUCCUACGGGAGGCAGCAGUGGGGAAUAUUGCACAAUGGGCGGAAGCCUGAUGCAGCAACGCCGCGUGCGGGAUGACGGCCUUCGGGUUGUAAACUGCUUUCGCCUGUGACGAAGCGUGAGUGACGGUAAUGGGUAAAGAAGCACCGGCUAACUACGUG
rnacentral:rRNA from 1 species